GGCUGGUCUGAAGGUAGUGAGUUAUCUCAACUGAUUGUUGACAGUCAGCUAUGGAUCAAAAUCCUUGUUCUACUCUUUCCCCCGUCUCACUACAGUACUUGAAUAGCCUUAU
ensembl:misc_RNA Y_RNA Y RNA